rnacentral:rRNA from 1 species
UACGGGGGGGGCAAGCGUUGUUCGGAAUUACUGGGCGUAAAGGGCUCGUAGGUGGCCAACUAAGUCACACGUGAAAUCCCUCGGCUUAACCGGGGAACUGCGUGUGAUACUGGAUGGCUUGAGUUUGGGAGAGGGAUGCGGAAUUCCAGGUGUAGCGGUGAAAUGCGUAGAUAUCUGGAGGAACACCGGUGGCGAAGGCGGCAUCCUGGACCAAUACUGACGCUGAGGAGCGAAAGCUAGGGGAGCAAACGGGG